AGAGUUUGAUCCUGGCUCAGGAUGAACGCUAGCUACAGGCUUAACACAUGCAAGUCGAGGGGAAACGACAUCGAAAGCUUGCUUUUGAUGGGCGUCGACCGGCGCACGGGUGAGUAACGCGUAUCCAACCUGCCCACCACUUGGGGAUAACCUUGCGAAAGUAAGACUAAUACCCAAUGACGUCUCUAGAGGACAUCUGAAAGAGAUUAAAGAUUUAUCGGUGAUGGAUGGGGAUGCGUCUGAUUAGCUUGUUGGCGGGGUAACGGCCACAAGGCGACGAUCAGUAGGGGUUCUGAGAGGAAGGUCCCCCACAUUGGAACUGAGACACGGUCCAAACGUCCUACGGGAGCA
rnacentral:rRNA from 1 species